rnacentral:rRNA from 1 species
CCUACGGGGCGCAGCAGUGGGGGAUAUUGGACAAUGGGGGAAACCCUGAUCCAGCGACGCCGCGUGAGUGAAGAAGUAUUUCGGUAUGUAAACCUCUGUCCUCUGUGAAGAUGAUGACGGUAGCAGAGGAGGAAGCUCCGGCUAACUACGUGCCAGCAGCCGCGGUAAUACGUAGGGAGCAAGCGUUGUCCGGAUUUACUGGGUGUAAAGGGUGCGUAGGCGGCUUUGCAAGUCAGAAGUGAAAUCCAUGGGCUUAACCCAUGAACUGCUUUUGAAACUGCAGAGCUUGAGUGGAGUAGAGGUAG